rnacentral:rRNA from 1 species
GAUGAACGCUGGCGGCGUGCCUAACACAUGCAAGUCGAGCGGCAGCGAGGGGUGCUUGCACCCUGUCGGCGAGCGGCGGACGGCUGAGUAACGCGUGGGAACGUGCCCCAAAGUGAGGAAUAACUGCCCGAAAGGGUAGCUAAUACCGCAUAUUAUCUUUGGAUCAAAGGAUUUAUCCGCUUUGGGAGCGGCUCGCGUCGGAUUAGGUAGUUUGUGAGGUAAUGGCUCACCAAGCCGACGACCCGUAGCUGGUCUGAGAGGAUGGCCAGCCAGACUGGAACUGAGACACGGUCCAGACUCCUACGGGAGGCAGCAGUGAGGAAUCGUCCACAGUGGGCGAAAGCCUGAUGGAGCAACGCCGCGUGCAGGACGAAGGCCGUCGGGAUGUAAACUGCUUUUAUAAGUGAGGAAUAUGACGGUAACUUAUGAAUAAGGAUCGGCUAACUACGUG